AGUGGGAGGUGUUGAUCUUGCA
rnacentral:miRNA from 1 species